rnacentral:rRNA from 1 species
ACAACUUUCAACAACGGAUCUCUUGGCUCCCGCUUCGAUGAAGAACGCAGCGAAAUGCGAUAAGUAAUGUGAAUUGCACAAUUCAGUGAAUCAUCGAAUCUUUGAACGCACCUUGCACCCUUUGGUAUUCCGAAGGGUACGCCCGUUUGAGUGCCAUUU